rnacentral:rRNA from 1 species
UACGUAGGGUGCAAGCGUUGUCCGGAAUUAUUGGGCGUAAAGAGCUCGUAGGCGGUCUGUUGCGUCGGCUGUGAAAACCCGAGGCUCAACCUCGGGCCUGCAGCCGAUACGGGCAGACUAGAGUUCGGUAGGGGAGACUGGAAUUCCUGGUGUAGCGGUGAAAUGCGCAGAUAUCAGGAGGAACACCGGUGGCGAAGGCGGGUCUCUGGGCCGAUACUGACGCUGAGGAGCGAAAGCGUGGGGAGCGAACAGG